CUUGCAGUGAUGAAGCACCAACUUGUAAGAAGAAACCUAACUUAUGGUUUCUUCCGUGAAAUACACAAGUUACGCUUGGCUUCUGAGCUCC